GAAAGCAUCUAAGCGGGAAGCGCGCCUCAAGAUGAGAUCUCCCGGGGCACAAGCCCCCUGAAGGAACCAUGUAGACUACGUGGUUGAUAGGUCAGGUGUGUAAGUACAGCAAUGUAUUGAGCUAACUGAUACUAAUGAUCCGUGCGGCUUGACCAU
rnacentral:rRNA from 1 species